UCCAUCGUGAGGUGGAAUCUGAAGGAAGUUGGAUGUGGAAAGAGAAAAUCCACGGGCAAAUCUCUGGUCUGACGAACAGAAAUCACAUACGAGGUUAUGCAUGAGGGUAAGAAUGCCACACAAGUCGAAGCCCAAUAACUACACGGAAUCAUGCAUGAUAGAUGUGGCAGAUGGAUGGAGAGAAAGAAACGUGUG
rfam:Eubacterium plexicaudatum ASF492 genomic scaffold acLZb-supercont1.11, whole genome shotgun sequence.